AUAGCACCAAAGCCCACUUGCUGUUUCCUCAAAGACAUUAUCAAGGACACAGAAACCUGUAAUAAUAGCUACAGGAAACCUGUCUUAACAUAUCACUUCAUGGAUGCCAAGGAAGAAGGAGAAGCCACUACUCCUCCUCCUUCUUCUGCUGCUGCUUCUCAGUCUUCUCCUCUCUCUAGGCAAAUCACCAUUUAUUCCUAUCCCAAGGUCUUUUUCUCUCUGUUUCUUUAUCUUCGUGCAUGUCUGAUUGUGCUUGUUGAUCUCUGCGAAUCUGUGUUAUUCAUUGGCAGGCUAGGAAAAGGAAGUCACGAGGGUCCAAGACAAACCUGACCCAGAUCCAUAAGGAGUCUCCAGAACCUAACAGCGGCACUGAACUUGUGAGAACUAAAUCUUUUCUUCCCUUUUCUUCCACUUGCUGUUUUGCUUCUUUUAUUGUAAAAAAUUUUCAAUCUCUUCAUGAAUUGGAGAAUACUUUUUGCUUCAAUCCCUGUUUUCCUGUUUUUUAUUAGCUCAACUGUUAUCAUUUUCAGAUGGGCGAAACAUUUCUGUAGAGCUUUCUCUUUCUCUCUCUCUCUCUAUUAAUUUGUGUGCUCGCUUAUCUCAGCUGCUUGCUAUUGUUUUGUUAUUUUUAGGGUUCUCUUUUUUCCUUCUUCUUAACUUUGUCUUCUAAUCAAAUUUUAUGUUCAAAGCUGGAGUUAGGAGAAACCCUUUAGUAAAGUUUUUGGGAAAUUCCAAAAGCUCAGGCAGCAAUAAAUUUUCAUUUCCACAGAAAUUAUACAUCAGGAAAGAAAACACUGUGAAUCUAACUUUGAAAACUGAAAUCCAUCCUAAUCCUGUUCCAGACUCAUUCGAAGAGAAGAAUCUGCAUUAGCUUUAACUCUAGCAGCAAGCAGGUGUUCCCUAUUUGGGACAGCACUUGCAAUUUCUCUGGGUUUUAGUAGCCCUUUUUUAGGUGGUUCUUUCCUUUCAAUUUCAAUUCUUACUCUAGGUACUUUCAUUUUUGCAAUUUUUGUUUUGGAUACCUGAACUCUUCUUUAGGUGUCAUUUUCUAAUCCAUCCCCAAUAAAAUGAACCUAUCUGUGAAAUGAGAGAUUUUAAAUUUGGGAUAGGCUUUGCUCAGCUUUGACAGCACAAUCCUUCAGUGCAAAACACAGGUGACUACGAAGUAGAGACCCAUGGAGUUCCAGCUGUACUUAGCAGCCUAACUGAAUGUUUUAGAAGUGGCUUUAAAUUUGUUUCUUUCAUGUAUAUUAAUAUUUUUAUGCUUUGUUUUUAUUUCAAGGCUGUGAAGAAAAACCAAAAUUUAAUUUUCUUCUAAUAUAAGCCAUUGAUGUGGGUGUUCAACAACUACUGGAAUGGUCCCUCAGUUUGCUGAAAUUUAUGUAUCAUUUUUGUGUUGUUUUUACUCAUAACAAGCCUGUUGGGUUCAAAUACAAACUUAAUUGAUUGCUUUGCAGUUUAUCCUUUUAGAUACUUGACUGCUAUUGCUGCAAUUCAUUUAGUGAUAUUAGAUAUAUAUUGAGUGAUGAAUUUAAUUGGAAAAAGAAAAUCUCUAUGAUUUCUUGAGCAGGGCUUAUGUGAUAAAUUCAGCAAGCCUACAAGGUCAGGGAUUUUGUUCAAGUGUUCUGUACUUACAAUCAGGUGAUAAGAAUUGAGUCAGAUUAGCUUCAUGUAUUGAUUCUUUUUCCUUGUUUGUUUUUAAAGCUGCAAACAAAAGAGAGGCGUGGUCAAUGAUUUCUAUGAUAGCUCUGAAUCUAAGUCUUCUGCUAUGGAGCGGGCAGAGGAGAUUCAAGAAAGUUUAGAAGCUUCAUUCCCUAGCUUUGCAAAGGCUUUGGUUCGGUCAAAUGUUACUGUUGGAUUUUGGAUGCAUCUUCCUAUGCGAUUCUGCAAACUGCAUUUGCCAAAGCAUGACACAACAGUUUUCUUGGAAACUGAAAAUGGAGAAGAAUACAUAAUAAAUUAUAUUUCAGAAAGGACAGCACUGAGUGGUGGAUGGAAAGCAUUCUGCUCUGCACACAAGUUACAUGAGGGUGAUGUCCUUGUUUUCCAUUUAGUCAAACCUUUAAGGUUUAAGGUGUACAUAGUGCGAGGAACUGUUUCAGCCAAAACUAAUGGGAAGUUAGAUAUUCAAAAAGUGGAUGCUCCUGAAAAACAAAUCACCUCUGAAGAUCGAGAUGAGAAGGACAUACAAGGGCAUAAAAAGGGCAAGCAUAUGGAGCUUCCUUCAACAGACCUGCAGGACAAUAACCAGGAGAAUAGCCUGAUGGUUUUGAAUGAAGAGCCUGGAGCAACUAAAUCUGAGAAUGACACUGAAGAUCAUUGCUUGAAAACUUUGGAAGUUGUCACAUCUUCAGGAACUGCUGCUGAUUUUAAAGACGUAGAAAGCAUUGAAAGUUUCAGCAUUCUCAUCAAUGGCUUGGCUAUAGAAUGCGAGCUUUCUGAUCACCAAAGGACUAAAUACUACGAGUUAUGCUGCUCACAAAGAUCAUUUCUGCAUGACAAUCUUCUCAAGAGUAUUAAUUAUAAAUUGGCUGCUGAAAUAAUAAUUGAAACUGUUAAUGUUUCAGAGGCCAUCAGAGCUUCCAACCUUACCAGCUCUCAUGCAGAUUUUGCAGUUUGGGACAAGACUUUGAAAGGCUUUGAGUUGCUGGGCAUGAAUGUUGGGUUUUUACGAUCUCGGUUGAGCAGGCUAAUGAGCCUUGCUGCAGAAUCAGAAGCGGCUGUUGAAUCAGAGUGUAGAGAAUUUAGAGUAGAACAAGCUCGUUUAGAUGCUGAGAUGAGAAGUCUUGAAUCAAAGCUUGUGGAAUUGAAAGAGCAAAGAGAAAGGCUAGAUGCUGAGAUAGAGGCUCUGAAGGUGAAUGCUGAAAUGCAUGAGCUGAUGUUUCAGGAAGCAGUGAAUGCUCCAUGGUAGGAAAAUGGUUUUUGAGGAACUGAAGCUUAUGUUUCAAGAAGAAACAAUGAAGGGGAAGAUUUACCAAUGAAAUAGGUGUACGAGCAUUGUUCUACUUUGAUUCAUUGUUGUUAAAUUACUUGUAGUCAUGUAUUAUGUAUAUCAACUGACAGAGGAGAUAUUGUAGGCUGUAUGAGUUAUGAGGUAAUUUUUCUUAGUAUAAUUGACUCACUCUGAUUGAGAUUCAAAUUCGAGACAUUACAUCUUCA
rnacentral:misc_RNA from 1 species